rnacentral:lncRNA from 1 species
AUGUUUUGUUGUACCAUAAUAAUAAUAAUAAUAAUAAUAAUAAUAAUAAUAAUAAUAAUAAUAAUAAUAAUAAUAAUAAACACCUGGGCCAUACCUGUCAUAAGAUAUACUGCUGGCAUUAUAAAUUGGACACAGGUGGAACUGGACAAUUUGGACAGAAAAACAAGAAAACUCAUGACCAUUCAUCAUUCACUGCACCCUCGCAGUGAUGUUGACCGGCUAUAUCUGCCUAGAAGAUCAGGGGGCAGAGGACUCUUACAAGUAAAGCAAGCAGUCAAAGAAGAAGAACAUGCCCUGGCAGAAUAUGUCAAGCAAAGUGAAGAACCUGCUUUGAUUGAAGUCAAAAAUCAGAAACUCCUCAAAACACAGCAGACAAAAAACCAGUACAAGAAAACCGCACUACAAACUAGAGCUGACAGCUGGCACAACAAAACACUGCAUGGAAAGUUCCUUGACAAAAUUGAAGGAAAAGCUGAUAAGGAGAAGACCUGGCUCUGGCUCACGAAUGGGACCCUGAAGAAGGAGACAGAAGGCCUGAUCCUUGCAGCCCAGGAGCAAGACAUCAGGACAAAGGCAAUUAAGGCCAAGAUUGAAAAAUCAGCUGAUGACCCAAAAUGCAGACUGUGCAAGGAAACCGACGAAACCAUUGAUCAUAUCCUCAGCUGCUGUAAGAAAAUCGCACAGACAGACUACAAACAGAGGCACAACUAUGUGGCCCAAAUGAUUCAUUGGAACUUAUGCCUCAAGUACCACCUCCCAGCAGCAAAGAACUGGUGGGAUCACAAACCUGCAAAAGUAUUGGAAAAUGAGCACGCAAAGAUACUGUGGGACUUCCGAAUCCAGACUGACAAAGUUCUGGAACACAACACACCGGACAUCACAGUUGUGGAAAAGAACAAGGUUUGGAUCAUUGAUGUUGCCAUCCCAGGUGACAGUCGCAUAGAUGAAAAACAACAGGAAAAACUCAGCCGCUAUCAGGACCUCAAGAUUGAACUUCAAAGACUCUGGCAGAAACCAGUACAGGUGGUCCCGGUGGUGAUGGGCACACUGGGUGCUGUGCCAAAAGAUCUCAGCCGGCAUUUGGAAACAAUAGACAUUGACAAAAUCACCAUUUGCCAACUGCAAAAGGCCACCCUACUGGGAUCUGCACACAUCAUCAGAAAAUACAUCACACAGUCCUAG